rnacentral:rRNA from 1 species
ACGAACGCUGGCGGCGUGCUUAACACAUGCAAGUCGAACGGAAAGGCCCUGCUUUUGUGGGGUGCUCGAGUGGCGAACGGGUGAGUAACACGUGAGUAACCUGCCCUUGACUUUGGGAUAACUUCAAGAAACUGGGGCUAAUACCGGAUAGGAGCUCCUGCUGCCUGGUGGGGGUUGGAAAGUUUCGGCGGUUGGGGAUGGACUCGCGGCUUAUCAGCUUGUUGGUGGGGUAGUGGCUUACCAAGGCUUUGACGGGUAGCCGGCCUGAGAGGGUGACCGGCCACAUUGGGACUGAGAUACGGCCCAGACUCCUACGGGAGGCAGCAGUGGGGAAUAUUGCACAAUGGGCGGAAGCCUGAUGCAGCAACGCCGCGUGCGGGAUGACGGCCUUCGGGUUGUAAACCGCUUUCGCCUGUGACGAAGCGUGAGUGACGGUAAUGGGUAAAGAAGCACCGGCUAACUACGUG